GAUGAACGCUGGCGGCGUGCCUAAUACAUGCAAGUCGAGCGAACAGACGAGGAGCUUGCUCCUCUGACGUUAGCGGCGGACGGGUGAGUAACACGUGGAUAACCUACCUAUAAGACUGGGAUAACUUCGGGAAACCGGAGCUAAUACCGGAUAAUAUAUUGAACCGCAUGGUUCAAUAGUGAAAGACGGUUUUGCUGUCACUGAUAGAUGGAUCCGCGCCGCAUUAGCUAGUUGGUAAGGUAACGGCUUACCAAGGCAACGAUGCGUAGCCGACCUGAGAGGGAGGUCGGCCACACGGGAACUGAGCCACGGUCGCGACUCCGACGGGAGGCAGCAGUAGGGAAUCUUCCGCGAUGGAGGAAAGCCUGACAGAGCAACACCGCGUGAGUCAUGAAGGUCUUAGGAUCGUAAAACUCUGUUAUUAGUGAAGAACAAAUGUGUAAGUAACUAUGCACGUAUUGACGGUACCUAAUCAGAAAGCCACGGCUAACUACGUG
rnacentral:rRNA from 1 species